rnacentral:rRNA from 1 species
GGCGCGCAAAUUACCCACUCCCGGCACGGGGAGGUAGUGACGAAAAAUAACGAUACGGGACUCAUCCGAGGCCCCGUAAUCGGAAUGAGUACACUUUAAAUCCUUUAACAAGGAUCAAUUGGAGGGCAAGUCUGGUGCCAGCAGCCGCGGUAAUUCCAGCUCCAAUAGCGUAUAUUAAAGUUGUUGCGGUUAAAAAGCUCGUAGUCGAAUUUGUGUCUCAUGCCGCUGGUUCAUCGUUCGCGGUGUAAACUGGCGUGACAUGGGACGUCCUGCCGGUGGGCUUAGCUCUUAACGGGGCGGCCCUAUAUAAUCCUGCCGCGUUGCUCUUAAUCGAGUGACGAGGUGGGCCGGCUCAUUUACUUUGAACAAAUUAAAGUGCUUAAAGCAGGCUAAAAUUUUGCCUGAAUAUGUGUGCAUGGAAUAAUGAAAUAGGACCUCGGUUCUAUUUUGUUGGUUUUAGGAACCCCGAGGUAAUGAUUAAUAGGAACGGAUGGGGGCAUUCGUAUUGCGACGUUAGAGGUGAAAUUCUUGGAUCGUCGCAAGACGAACAUAAGCGAAAGCAUUUGCCAAAAACGUUUUCAUUGAUCAAGAACGAAAGUUAGAGGUUCGAAGGCGAUCAGAUACCGCCCUAGUUCUAACCAUAAACGAUGCCAGCCAGCGAUCCGCCGAUGUUCCUCCGAUGACUCGGCGGGCAGCUUCCGGGAAACCAAAGCUUUUGGGUUCCGGGGGAAGUAUGGUUGCAAAGCUGAAACUUAAAGGAAUUGACGGAAGGGCACCACCAGGAGUGGAGCCUGCGGCUUAAUUUGACUCAACACGGGAAACCUCACCAGGCCCAGACACUGGAAGGAUUGACAGAUUGAGAGCUCUUUCUUGAUUCAGUGGGUGGUGGUGCAUGGCCGUUCUUAGUUGGUGGAGCGAUUUGUCUGGU